UACGUAGGGGGCAAGCGUUGUCCGGAUUUAUUGGGCGUAAAGAGCGUGUAGGCGGUUUGGUAGGUCCGCUGUGAAAACUCGAGGCUUAACCUCGAGAUGUCGAUGGAAACCGUAUGGCUAGAGUCCGGAAGAGGAGAGUGGAAUUCCUGGUGUAGCGGUGAAAUGCGCAGAUAUCAGGAAGAACACCCGUGGCGAAGGCGGCUCUCUGGGACGGUACUGACGCUGAGACGCGAAAGCGUGGGGAGCGAACAGG
rnacentral:rRNA from 1 species